AGCGGCGGACGGGUGAGUAACACGUGGGUAACCUGCCCAAGAGACUGGGAUAACACCUGGAAACAGAUGCUAAUACCGGAUAACAACACUAGACGCAUGUCUAGAGUUUGAAAGAUGGUUCUGCUAUCACUCUUGGAUGGACCUGCGGUGCAUUAGCUAGUUGGUAAGGUAACGGCUUACCAAGGCAAUGAUGCAUAGCCGAGUUGAGAGACUGAUCGGCCACAUUGGGACUGAGACACGGCCCAAACUCCUACGGGAGGCAGCAGUAGGGAAUCUUCCACAAUGGACGAAAGUCUGAUGGAGCAACGCCGCGUGAGUGAAGAAGGGUUUCGGCUCGUAAAGCUCUGUUGGUAGUGAAGAA
rnacentral:rRNA from 1 species